GACGAACGCUGGCGGCGUGCUUAACACAUGCAAGUCGAACGGAAAGGCCCUGCUUUUGUGGGGUGCUCGAGUGGCGAACGGGUGAGUAACACGUGAGUAACCUGCCCUUGACUUUGGGAUAACUUCAGGAAACUGGGGCUAAUACCGGAUAGGAGCUCCUGCUGCAUGGUGGGGGUUGGAAAGUUUCGGCGGUUGGGGAUGGACUCGCGGCUUAUCAGCUUGUUGGUGGGGUAGUGGCUUACCAAGGCUUUGACGGGUAGCCGGCCUGAGAGGGUGACCAGCCACAUUGGGACUGAGAUACGGCCAAGACUCCUACGGGAGGCAGCAGUGGGGAAUAUUGUACAAUGGGCGGAAGCCUGAUGCAGCAACGCCGCGUGCGGGAUGACGGCCUUCGGGUUGUAAACCGCUUUCGCCUGUGACGAAGCGUGAGUGACGGUAAUGGGUAAAGAAGCACCGGCUAACUACGUG
rnacentral:rRNA from 1 species